AAAUAUUGGGCACCUAGUAACUCCAAGAAAACUUAACAAACUAAAUGCGACAUGGUUUUUUGAAAUUUUAAAAUUAAAGUGAACUCGAUGUAGGAAGAAAAUAGUAAUGUUGUUGAUCAGCUUACACUGAAUUGUACGCAUUUUUCUGAUCAAACUAAAACAGAAAUUCCCACAAUUUUUCAAAUUGAGCUGCUUGUAUUCUCUAAGGUCAUUAAAUGUAAAUUUGAUGUGAUGUGAUGAAGUCUCUUGCUGCAUGUUUCGUCACAUGCAGAAAUAGUUCACAACAGUAAAAGUAAUUAUGUUGGUUAAUUUUUUAACCCUAAACCUGGUGAAGUCUGAGCUUCUUCAUUGCAGUCCAAUGUGCACAUGGAUUUGUUGCAGCCAGCUGGUGAAAGGUGUUCCUUUUGAAGGCUUGCUACUUGUACUGGUGUAUAACCAGCCUCUUAGUGAUGUAUUGACCAGGCCCUCUGGCGGAUAACGACGAAUGUCAGCUGACUAUACAACAGGGUCCGAUUUGUGAACAGUGUGGUGAGCUGUUGGAUGCAGACUGUGGUGCUGGUGUCGUUCGUUCAUUUAACUAUGGACAGUUAAUUUCAGUCGUUUACGCUAAGAAAUCUGUCGAUUGUCACUAGGUGUGUGAAAUUGUGUCCAUCGAGUGUUUGACCCAUUUAUUUUACAAUUCUUUGUAGGUUUCCAUAGUCAGUUUGAUGUUUGAGCUGUUCAUGGUGUUGCUGUUUGUUGUAAUGUAAAGUGGUUUUGCAGUCAUUUUCCAGUUGAGUAAUGCGCUGAAAUGGAGCUUGUGCAGAGUCGCAGCUUAACAUCAUACUUCAAUUUUGCCAUUUGCCAAUGUUGGUGUUCAUGUAGUGUUGAACAGUUGGGCCGAAUAGUCAAUGUUGCCUGCAUAUUUUAUCGGCUGCAUUUUUUCGAUGUGUCGUCUCUUGGUACCGGCGUUGAGUUUAAUCGUUUGCCGCCGUUCUAUAGAUUUGAUCCAUUGGUAGAACUGAGGAGUUGCUGAAAUUCAAGACUCGUCAAUAAAUUAUGUAGAUGUAGAAAAAUUACAAGUGCAUAUCUGGGCUCCCUUCUUCAGUGGCCCCGUUUCCCUAAACAACCACUAACCAACGCCCGCCGGGCGCCGGUGGUCACUCACUCGCUGCGACAACCAGGAGGAAGGGAGAUGUUUGGUCGAACGGGGACUUGCAAGGCGCAUGAUUCGAUGAAAUCUGUUGGAGGGUCAUGAGUAUAAGCCGGAAGCUUACUAUGAUAACUGCUCUCAUAAUAACUGCUCCUCAGCUCCAUUCUGUCAGUCAUUCCAACAAGUCAACAAGUCCGCUCAGUCAAUUUACAUCCAUUAGCCCCAUCAUGCUGUCAAAAGCAUAAAACUCAGCAUGGUUUUAGCCCACAUGGAAUACAAAUGUGCCGAGAUAAGGUAUCCUUGCGCUUAAACCAUAGGAUCUUUUCUGAAUCUUGCAAUUUUGGUGGCAUACCGUACAACAGCAUGUUUGUUAUUAUGGAUGUUCUUACUUCUGUUUAGAAGGCAACCCAGCUAAGAGAUAGAGUUUCAGAGACAUAAAGCGUGUGAAGUGAAUAACCUGGCAUGUGUAUACACAUGUACCGGAUCUACUUGAUGAAAGUCAAAUGCCAUACUAAAUUCAUCACCCAUAUGAUAAAGGAAAUUUAUCUCAACAUGAGGAGUAAGGCUGUUGGUUGCUGUGAAUUCCAUUUUUAC